GAAAUGCGAUAAGUAAUGUGAAUUGCAGAAUUCAGUGAAUCAUCUAAUCUUUGAACGCACCUUGCGCUCCUUGGUAUUCCUUGGAGCAUGCCUGUUUGAGUAUCAUGUAAUCUUCAAAGUAAAUCUUUUGUUAACUCAAUUGGUUUCUACUUUGGUAUUGGAGGUCUUUGCAGCUUCACACCUGCUCCUCUUUGUUCAUUAGCUGGAUCUCAGUGUUAUGCUUGGUUCCACUCGGCGUGAUAAGUUAUCUAUCGCUGAGGACACUGUAAAAGGUGGCCAAGGUAAAUGCAGAUGAACCGCUUCUAAUAGUCCAUUGACUUGGACAAUACUUUUAUGAUCUGAUCUCAAAUCAGGUAGGACUACCCGCUGAACUUAAGC
rnacentral:misc_RNA from 1 species